rnacentral:rRNA from 1 species
AUUGAACGCUGGCGGCAUGCUUUACACAUGCAAGUCGAACGGUAACAGGGAGCUUGCUCCGCUGACGAGUGGCGAACGGGUGAGUAAUGCAUCGGAACAUGCCCAGUCAUGGGGGAUAACUACGCGAAAGCGUAGCUAAUACCGCAUACGCCCUGAGGGGGAAAGUGGGGGAUCUUAGGACCUCACGUGAUUGGAGUGGCCGAUGUCAGAUUAGCUAGUUGGUGAGGUAAAGGCUCACCAAGGCGACGAUCUGUAGCGGGUCUGAGAGGAUGAUCCGCCACACUGGGACUGAGACACGGCCCAGACUCCUACGGGAGGCAGCAGCGGGGAAUAUUGCGCAAUGGGCGAAAGCCUGACGCAGCCACGCCGCGUGAGCGAUGAAGGCCUCGGUC